rnacentral:rRNA from 1 species
AACGAACGCUGGCGGCAGGCUUAACACAUGCAAGUCGAGCGCUCACUUCGGUGGGAGCGGCGGACGGGUUAGUAACGCGUGGGAACGUGCCCUUCUCUAAGGAAUAGCCACUGGAAACGGUGAGUAAUACCUUAUACGCCCUUCGGGGGAAAGAUUUAUCGGAGAAGGAUCGGCCCGCGUUAGAUUAGAUAGUUGGUGGGGUAACGGCCUACCAAGUCUACGAUCUAUAGCUGGUUUUAGAGGAUGAUCAGCAACACUGGGACUGAGACACGGCCCAGACUCCUACGGGAGGCAGCAGUGGGGAAUCUUAGACAAUGGGGCGCAAGCCUGAUCUAGCCAUGCCGCGUGAGUGAUGAAGGUCUUAGGAUCGUAAAGCUCUUUCGCCAGAGAUGAUAAUGACAGUAUCUGGUAAAGAAACCCCGGCUAACUCCGUGCCAGCAGCCGCGGUAAUU